GAUGAACGCUGGCGGCGUGCCUAAUACAUGCAAGUCGAGCGAAUGGAUUAAGAGCUUGCUCUUAUGAAGUUAGCGGCGGACGGGUGAGUAACACGUGGGUAACCUGCCCAUAAGACUGGGAUAACUCCGGGAAACCGGGGCUAAUACCGGAUAACAUUUUGAACCGCAUGGUUCGAAAUUGAAAGGCGGCUUCGGCUGUCACUUAUGGAUGGACCCGCGUCGCAUUAGCUAGUUGGUGAGGUAACGGCUCACCAAGGCAACGAUGCGUAGCCGACCUGAGAGGGUGAUCGGCCACACUGGGACUGAGACACGGCCCAGACUCCUACGGGAGGCAGCGGUGGGGAAUAUUGCGCAAUGGGCGAAAGUCUGACGGAGCAACGCCGCGUGAGUGAUGAAGGCUUUCGGGUCGUAAAACUCUGUUGUUAGGGAAGAACAAGUGCUAGUUGAAUAAGCUGGCACCUUGACGGUACCUAACCAGAAAGCCACGGCUAACUACGUGCCAGCAGCCGCAGUAA
rnacentral:rRNA from 1 species